CAGUCGCCACGGUAAUACAGAUGGUGCGAGCGUUAAUCGGAUUUACUGGGCGUAAAGCGUGCGUAGGCGGCUAAUUGAGUCGGAUGUGAAAUCCCCGAGCUUAACUUGGGAAUUGCAUUCGAUACUGGUUAGCUAGAGUGUGGGAGAGGAUGGUAGAAUUCCAGGUGUAGCGGUGAAAUGCGUAGAGAUCUGGAGGAAUACCGAUGGCGAAGGCAGCCAUCUGGCCUAAUACUGACGCUGAGGUACGAAAGCAUGGGGAGCAAACAGGAUUAGAUACCCCAGUAGUCCCUGUCUCUUAUAC
rnacentral:rRNA from 1 species